rnacentral:rRNA from 1 species
CUACGUGCCAGCAGCCGCGGUAAUACGGAAGGUCCGGGCGUUAUCCGGAUUUAUUGGGUUUAAAGGGAGUGUAGGCGGUCUGUUAAGCGUGUUGUGAAAUUUAGGUGCUCAACAUUUAACUUGCAGCGCGAACUGUCAGACUUGAGUACACGCAGCGCAGGCGGAAUUCAUGGUGUAGCGGUGAAAUGCUUAGAUAUCAUGAGGAACUCCGAUCGCGAAGGCAGCCUGCGGGAGUGUUACUGACGCUUAAGCUCGAAGGUGCGGGUAUCGAACAGGAUUAGAUACCCUGGUAGUCCGCACAGUAAACGAUGGAUGCCCGCUGUUGGUACCUGGUAUCAGCGGCUAAGCGAAAGCAUUAAGCAUCCCACCUGGGGAGUACGCCGGCAACGGUGAAACUCAAAGGAAUUGACGGGGGCCCGCACAAGCGGAGGAACAUGUGGUUUAAUUCGAUGAUACGCGAGGAACCUUACCCGGGCU